rnacentral:tRNA from 1 species
GAUUCAGUAGCUCAGCAGGUAGAGCACAACACUUUUAAUGUUGGGGU